rnacentral:sRNA from 1 species
AGGGACUAGCUGACGCCCGGAUCGGCUUGGGAGCAGAGUCCGGAAUGCGAGCUUCGUGGACCAGAGUUCCCGCUCGGAUUCCGUAUUCGCUGUGUGACCAAGGGCAACGGCUGCACUCAGUGUUUCCCACCUGGGGAAUGGUUCAAGCGCCGAUGUUCAGGGCUCCAGCGCUCUUGGAGGAUAAGGGGGAAGGAGGUUAGCAGGUGUUACUCAAAGAGGAAGUCUAGGGUUCACGCCUGCCAUCCGGCCAUUCCUGCAGACCAUCUCCAUUGGGCUGGUGUCCUUCGGGGAGCACUACAAACGCAACGAGACAGGCCUCAGUGUGGCCGCCAGCUCUCUCUUCACCAGCGGCCGCUUUGCCAUCGACCCCGAGCUGCGUGGGGCUGAGUUUGAGCGGAUCACACAGAACCUGGACGUGCACUUCUGGAAAGCCUUCUGGAACAUCACCGAGAUGGAAGUGCUAUCGUCUCUGGCCAACAUGGCAUCGGCCACCGUGAGGGUAAGCCGCCUGCUCAGCCUGCCACCAGAAGCCUUUGAGAUGCCACUGACUGCCGACCCCACGCUCACGGUCACCAUCUCACCCCCACUGGCCCACACAGGCCCCGGGCCCGUCCUCGUCAGGCUUAUCUCCUAUGACCUGCGUGAAGGACAGGACAGUGAGGAGCUCAGCAGCCUGGUAAAGUCCAACGGCCAACGGAGCCUGGAGCUGUGGCCGCGCCCC